GACGAACGCUGGCGGCGUGCUUAACACAUGCAAAUCGAGCGGAAAGGCCACUUCGGUGGUACUCGAGCGGCGAACGGGUGAGUAACACGUGAGUAAUCUGCCCCUGGCUUUGGGAUAGCCACCGGAAACGGUGAUUAAUACCGGAUAUGACCACUUCUCGCAUGGGAUGGUGGUGGAAAGUUUUUCGGCCAGGGAUGUGCUCGCGGCCUAUCAGCUUGGUGGUGAGGUAAUGGCUCACCAUGGCUUCGACGGGUAGCCGGCCUGAGAGGGUGACCGGUCACACUGGGACUGAGACACGGCCCAGACUCCUACGGGAGGCAGCAGUGGGGAAUAUUGGACAAUGGGCGGAAGCCUGAUCCAGCAACGCCGCGUGAGGGAUGACGGCCUUCGGGUUGUAAACCUCUUUCAGUACCGACGAAGCGCAAGUGACGGUAGGUACAGAAGAAGCACCGGCCAACUACGUGCCAGCCGCCGCAGUAAAAC
rnacentral:rRNA from 1 species